rnacentral:lncRNA from 1 species
GUUCUACACCCCAUUCACGGGCUCUGCUUACGCGAAUUCCGUAAGGCGCGAGGGUAGCGGCAACGAGCGAAACCUGCUCCCGUCCCUGACGCUAACGGCGCGGUUCGCGCACCGCCGGACGUCGUUUGCGCAGCCUACGCCGAGGAAGGAGAGAGGCUCCGGUGGAGCUUACGACCUUUGCGUAGCCGCUAGGGAGAGCUCUUCAAUGGCUUACGGCUGAGUAGAGGGAGGGCAGCGUUGAGGGGCGGGGACUGCCUGGGCCCUGCCCCGGACGGUGACGUAGAGAGGCUUUGUGAAUCCCAGGCUGAAGUUUGGUUGAGCCACAGGAGGGGUGCAGGAGCCACUGUGAAGGAACGGCAACACGUCGUAUCAGGGACAAAGGGACAUCGUCACAGAAGCCGGGAGAUGAAGCCCGUUCUCCACAGGGGACAGCCACACUGUGGCUGUGACAGCGCCGGGACAACUCACCUCUCGACAGCCCGCAGGAGGUAACCGUCGAGGACCUGACGGGGAACAAGCAGUCCUGCUCUCUGGGCUGCACCGAGUCAGGGCGACGCUGCAAGCAAGCAGUCGUGGACUGUGCAGCACCGAUGACACGAACCACAGGUCAGUGGUGUCACAGUAGCUACCACUGUCCUAGGGCAUGCCCCAGGCAUGUCACAAGAAAUCCGUGCAGCACCCGCUACACAGGCUUUUGGCUAUAAUAGCCCCUGCCAAAGCAUGGCAACAGGAAGACACCACUUCUCCUGAUGUGCUGGGAUCAGGAUGACAGUCCACAACAAAUGAGACAUGAUUCCUUUGCACAGGGAUAAAAAAGUGCCUCCCCCCCUCUCCCCCCAGUGCCCUCUCAGCCCCAUUAAGUUUUGAGGCAGAGCACUGCAAUUUGUUGCAGCAGGUAUGAGCCUGCUUUCUUCCGCAAAGGCACAAUGACACCCCACAGUUGUGGCCUCCUCACGAGCUCCUUUGAGGCAGCAUAGUCACCCUUGUGUUACAGAGGAGCUAGAAAGCAGCCUUCCCACAAAUUCCACUUCCUACUAACUUCGUUAUCCUUUCUGUACACCUCUCCUUUCUGACGAAUGCCUGGUCUGUUUUGAAUCCCUACCUGCACAAAAAAACAUACUGUCAUGCACUUCUGAACUCUUCAAGAGCUCCCCGCUGGAUUGAGCCCUCAGUCUGUAAUGGCUGCUAAGAAUUAAAACAAGGCCUUUAUGUCCUUACUGCCUUUGUAAAGCUUAGCGGG